CAUCCAACGCGUUGGGAGCUCUCCCAUAUGGUCGACCUGCAGGCGGCCGCGAAUUCACUAGUGAUUAGAGUUUGAUCAUGGCUCAGAGCGAACGCUGGCGGCAGGCUUAACACAUGCAAGUCGAACGGUCCUUCGGGAUAGUGGCGGACGGGUGAGUAACACGUGGGAACGUACCCUUAGGUUCGGAACAACACAGGGAAACUUGUGCUAAUACCGGAUAAGCCCUUCGGGGGAAAGAUUUAUCGCCUUUGGAGCGGCCCGCGUCUGAUUAGCUUGUUGGUGAGGUAAUGGCUCACCAAGGCUACGAUCAGUAGCUGGUCUGAGAGGAUGGCCAGCCACACUGGGACUGAGACACGGCCCAGACUCCUACGGGAGGCAGCAGUGGGGAAUCUUGCGCAAUGGGCGAAAGCCUGACGCAGCCAUGCCGCGUGGAUGAUGAAGGUCUUAGGAUCGUAAAAUCCUUUCACCGGGGACGAUAAUGACGGUACCCGGAGAAGAAGCCCCGGCUAACUUCGUGCCAGCAGCCGCGGUAAUACGAAUCGAAUUCCCGCGGCCGCCAUGGCGGCCGGGAGCAUGCGACG
rnacentral:rRNA from 1 species